rnacentral:rRNA from 1 species
UGGGGAAUUUUCCGCAAUGGGCGAAAGCCUGACGGAGCAAGACCGCGUGAGGGAGGAAGGCCCUUGGGUUGUAAACCUCUUUUCUCAGGGAAGAAGAAAGUGACGGUACCUGAGGAAUCAGCCUCGGCUAACUCCGUGCCAGCAGCCGCGGUAAGACGGAGGGGGCAAGCGUUGUCCGGACUUACUGGGCGUAAAGCGUCCGUAGGCGGUCCUGUGCGUCGGUGCUGAAAGCGCCCGGCUCAACCGGGCGAGGUGCGCCGAUACGAUGGGACUAGAGGUCGGCAGAGGGGGGCGGAAUGCCGGGUGUAGUGGUGAAAUGCGUAGAGAUCCGGCGGAACGCCAGUGGCGCAAGCGGCCCCCUGGGCCGAUGCUGACGCUGAGGGACGAAAGCGUGGGGAGCGAACCGGAUUAGAUACCCGGGUAGUCC